rnacentral:rRNA from 1 species
AUUAGAGUGCUCCAGGCAGGCAUAUGCUUGAAUACAUUAGCAUGGAAUAAUAGAAUAGGACGUGCGGUUCUAUUUUGUUGGUUUCUAGGACCGCCGUAAUGAUUAAUAGGGACAGUCGGGGGCAUCAGUAUUCAAUUGUCAGAGGUGAAAUUCUUGGAUUUAUUGAAGACUAACUACUGCGAAAGCAUUUGCCAAGGAUGUUUUCAUUAAUCAGGAACGAAAGUUAGGGGAUCGAAGACGAUCAGAUACCGUCGUAGUCUUAACCGUAAACUAUGCCGACUAGGGAUCGGACGAUGUUAUUAUUUGACUCGUUCGGCACCUUACGAGAAA